CGGCUGUACUGGGCUCUGCCUUUUGGGCAGCUCGCCGGCCACUCCCCAAAAGCAGAGCAUUCCAUCCUUUCUCUUUUUAAACCCACGUCAUCAUCUGAUCAUAAUGGAAAUCAAUCUCCUCAAACCACCAUGCAAAGGCGUAUCCAUGGCAACCUCAAAAGGAAGGACACAGAGAUGAUGCUUCAGUGGCUGCAGCAGGAAAAGCUCUUCGCCUCUCGGUACCUUAAGUAUACCUGAGUAGCCAGUGGUCAACAUGGGUUUGCUGCUCUCCUCACUGCAAUAAAUGACGGUGCUGUUGUAAGAGAUCCAGGCUGCCUUUGGCUUCCUCCAAUGGGGAACCUGAACAAGGACCCCCAAACUCCUGUUCACAUAACUAGAGCCCUUCCCCCCAACAUGUGAUGCUGAACAGAGAAGAACAUCUGUGCUUACCUGGGUGAAAUCCUAGGCAUUAUAGAAUGUGGGGAAGAAUCCAUGGGAGAAUCCUCCCCCUGAGGAAAGGGAUGCUGUUUUCCAGGAGAAGGUGGGUUUUCAGACUGAAAAGCUUGGAGAGGGGAAUCAAUAGAGAGUAAAUCAAAGAUGACAAAG
rnacentral:lncRNA from 1 species